UACAGAGGGUGCAAGCGUUAAUCGGAAUUACUGGGCGUAAAGCGCACGUAGGUGGUUAAAUAAGUUGGAUGUGAAAUCCCCGGGCUUAACCUGGGAAGGUCAUCCGGUACUGUUUGACUGGAGUACAGUAGAGGGAAGUGGAAUUUCCGGUGUAGCGGUGAAAUGCGUAGAUAUCGGAAGGAACACCAGUGGCGAAGGCGGCUUCCUGGACUGAUACUGACACUGAGGAGCGAAAGCGUGGGUAGCGAACAGG
rnacentral:rRNA from 1 species